AUUCAGAGCCCCAGCCUGUUCAUAAAAAAAAUCAGAUGAAUUUUGUCUGCGGAACAUUCUGCAAAAAUAUCUGACCAUCCUAGCUACUCCGGAGGCUGAGGCAGGAGGAUCACCUGAGCCCAGGACUUUGAGGCCGCUGUAAGCUAUGAUCAUGCCACUGCACUCCAGCUCAGGCAACAGUGAGACCCGGUCUCAACAAACAAAAGAAAAUAAAAGAAUGGUAGACAAGGAAAGCAGUUGAACAGCUAUGCGAGAAGCCUACUUUCUCUUCAUGUAACACGUUGGCCUAAGAGAUCUAUAGAGCUUUUUAAAAACAAAGAAGGCAGCAAGAUUUAAAAUAAUAAAACCAGCAAUAGGUAUUUUUAAAAGUGAGAGAAACUAUCAGAGAGCUGUAGCAGAAAAGCAAGUUAAAAAUAAAGGAAACAGAAAAGGAACUGAUACAGCUGAUUUGAUACUGGAAAAAUCACCCAGGAGGCAGCGUGGACAAUGGAUUGGAGAAG
rnacentral:lncRNA from 1 species